rnacentral:misc_RNA from 1 species
GCUGUUGCUUCCUGUACUUUUCUGGAACUUUGCCUUUCUCCUUGUAAGGCUUAACAAGCACUCUAGCAUCACAUACAAAAUGAGGGUUCCCUUUGGCCAAGAUUAUCUUUACAGUCUGCGGAUAAACAAAAGUGACAAACCCAAACAUUCUUUUCUGCUGGUAAGGAAUCCUCACAUCUUGCACUGGCCCAUACAUACUGAAGUAAUUUGAAACAUCCUCCUCUCUGAAAGUGCUAUCAGCUGGGAAAGUCAAGUAGAUCUGUCUUGAGGCGGAGUUAACCAACUCACUCCUAUCAAGCCGAGAUCGGCCAAAUUUGUGCAUAUCCUCACCCACCAUCAAUGCAGCAGAAGCGGCAGCAGCCCUC